rnacentral:rRNA from 1 species
GAUGAACGCUGGCGGCGUGCCUAAUACAUGCAAGUCGAGCGAAUGGAUUAAGAGCUUGCUCUUAUGAAGUUAGCGGCGGACGGGUGAGUAACACGUGGGUAACCUGCCCAUAAGACUGGGAUAACUCCGGGAAACCGGGGCUAAUACCGGAUAACAUUUUGAACCGCAUGGUUCGAAAUUGAAAGGCGGCUUCGGCUGUCACUUAUGGAUGGACCCGCGUCGCAUUAGCUAGUUGGGGAGGUAACGGCUCACCAAGGCAACGAUGCGUAGCCGACCGGGGAGGGUGAUCGGCCACACUGGGACUGAGACACGGCCCAGACUCCUACGGGAGGCAGCAGUAGGGAAUCGUCCGCAAUGGACGAAAGUCUGACGGAGCAACGCCGCGUGAGUGAUGAGGGCUUUCGGGUCGUAAAACUCUGUUGUUAGGGAAGAACAAGUGCUAGUUGAAUAAGCUGGCACCUUGACGGUACCUAACCAGAAAGCCACGGCUAACUACGUGCCAGCCGCCGCAGUAA